CAGUUUGUACCAGAACAGGUGUAAAAUGGAGGACAUACUUUUGGAAAUGGACCGUAUUCUACGUCCUGAAGGAAUGGUCAUACUCCGCGAUACUGUUGACGUUAUGAACAAACUGGCAAAAGCGGUGAGGGGCAUGCGGUGGAAUGCCAGAAUGCUGGAUCACGAGGAUGGUCCUCUUGUCCCUGAGAAGAUUUUGAUCGCUGUCAAAACUUAUUGGGUCGAUGCUGGAAAUAAUUCUACGCUUAGUGAAUGAACAUAAUAUUUUGGAGCAGCAGGAAGGCAAUGGCAGCACUUUAGAACUCAG
rnacentral:misc_RNA from 1 species